ensembl:lncRNA
AGAAUGUGUACAGGAGGGGCCGUGAGGAAAGAUUAUUUUUGAAAGAGGCCAUUCAGGGAAUGCAAAGGGUUAACCUGCCCUCCUCCUGAAGAACCUGCUACCCAAAUCAGCCUCCUCUACAUCACCAGACCUAGAGCAGCAGUUGGUCCUACGGAUCCCCCUGCUCUCCACAGGCACAGCCCCAUCCCACUUCUAACUCUGUUUUAACCGCCUCCACCCCCACCUUGAGCUCCAGUGGAUGGUGGAGACCUAAACUCAUUCAUUUCCAGGUGGAGAAAAUGGAGGCGGGGCAGGUCCCUGCAGAGAAAGGAGGCCAAGAACUGGAUCUUCCUACCUAGGAAGGCUGCUAUGAUCAUCCCUUUUCCCCGCCCUGGGCAGGGGCCUGUCUCUACAAGGCCAAGGCCAUAAGGGAUGCUGAGGAUUUUAUUUGAUUCCUGACACAGUAAGCAAAACCUAAGAGUCUCCGCUGAAACUUGCUGAGGAGCUCUUUCAUCGCCAAAGCCUCAGCCUAGUCCACUCAGUCAAUUAGUAUUCAUGGACCCCUAGCCUUAUUUCCUCCCGAAUAUUUUUGUAGUACCUACUAUGUGCCAAUCAUUGGGUAAUUGUUGUAUCUUAGAUUCUUCCUUUGCCCUCCUAAGGGAGUGUCUGGAGUCAGGUGAGAUUAAGUUCACUGUGCCCCAUCUAGACACUUCCAGAACCUUCUUUGGGUCCGACAGAAAUGCACCAGAACCUGCUCACCCCUGCAGAGAGGAGACUGCAGUCCACAUCAUGCAAACUGCAAGCGCAAUGCUGUCCUUCAGAUCCCGGAAGGCCAGCCUGGCUGGAGGACAGAAGAGAAAGCAGCUUCUCUGGCCCCUGAGCCUUAGCCAGUGUUGUCUUAAGAGGCGCCCGCAGCCACUGCCUUCAAAAUAGUCCUCCCUCUAAACAGUCCCUCUUUGGUUCUCCUCUCCUUCCUCUGAGGGCUGCUCUGACAGUUCUUUGGGGCUGAUCUUAAGCCUCUGAUGACCAACCCUCGACCCCACAGUUGUUCACGUAAAUGAGCUUUAUCUCCCUAAUUGCUUCCCUGUAAUUCCAUCAGAUGUGGCCGUGCCCUCUGCUGAUGUGCCUGCUGCCAGCAUCUCCAGACGCCUUUCCCAAAGACCGCCCAGGCCCAGAACUCUAAGCAGAAAAGCAACUGAACUUUUAACAAAGGCAAAGAAGAGAGUCCUCCGGGGGCAGCUGUAAAGCCUUCUUCCUAGGACAGAUGGAACCACCCUUCCUCAGCUACUCUGUGGGUGGGUUUAGUGAGUCAAUAGGGGCUGAGGGAUGUGCUGGUGGCUUGUGUUUGUGGCUUGCCUGGCUGAUUCACGGUGCUGAGUAUGUCAAUAACAAUUAUGACAGUUUUAAUACCUAAUAAAGAUGUUUUCUUCCAAGUCCAAU